rnacentral:rRNA from 1 species
CCCUUAGAUGUUCUGGGCUGCACGCGCGCUACACUGAUUGACUCAACGAGUACUGUUUCUUGCCUGGCAAGGUUCGGCAACCUCUGAAUACUCAUCGUGAUGGGGCUAGGUCCUUGCAAUUCUGGAUCUUCAACGAGGAAUUCCUAGUACGUAUGGGUCAACAGCUCAUGCUGACUACGUCCCUGCCCUUUGUACACACCGCCCGUCGCUCCUACCGAUUGAGUGAUCCGGUAAAUUGUUCAGACUGCUGCUGUCUCCAGCUUCUGGAGUGGUGGUGGAAAGUUUUGUGAACCUUACCACUUAGAGGAAGGAGAANUCGUANCA